rnacentral:tRNA from 1 species
UCCUUGGCUGUCCAAUGGUUAAGACUCUGCACUUCCAAUGCAGGGGCAUUGGUUUGAUCCCUGAUCAGGGAA